UACAGAGGUGGCAAGCGUUGUUCGGAAUUACUGGGCGUAAAGGGCGCGUAGGCGGCCUUGUCAGUCAGACGUGAAAUCCCCAGGCUUAACCUGGGAACUGCGUCUGAUACUACAAGGCUGGAGUGCGGGAGAGGGAUGUGGAAUUCCAGGUGUAGCGGUGAAAUGCGUAGAUAUCUGGAGGAACACCGGUGGCGAAGGCGGCAUCCUGGACCGACACUGACGCUGAGGCGCGAAAGCCAGGGGAGCAAACGGG
rnacentral:rRNA from 1 species